UGGCUCAGUGGAAAGAGCACAGGCCUUUGGAGUCAGAGGUCAUGGGUUCGAAUCCCNN
rnacentral:tRNA from 1 species